GACGAACGCUGGCGGCGUGCCUAAUACGUGCAAGUAGAACGCACAGUUUAUACCGUAGCUUGCUACACCAUAGACUGUGAGUUGCGAACGGGUGAGUAACGCGUAGGUAACCUGCCUGGUAGCGGGGGAUAACUAUUGGAAACGAUAGCUAAUACCGCAUAAUAUUGAUUAUUGCAUGAUAAUUGAUUGAAAGAUGCUAUUGCAUCACUACCAGAUGGACCUGCGUUGUAUUAGCUAGUAGGUGAGGUAACGGCUCACCUAGGCGACGAUACAUAGCCGACCUGAGAGGGUGAUCGGCCACACUGGGACUGAGACACGGCCCAGACUCCUACGGGAGGCAGCAGUAGGGAAUCUUCGGCAAUGGACGAAAGUCUGACCGAGCAACGCCGCGUGAGUGAAGAAGGUUUUCGGAUCGUAAAGCUCUGUUGUAAGAGAAGAACGGGUGUGAGAGUGGAAAGUUCACACUGUGACGGUAUCUUACCAGAAAGGGACGGCUAACUACGUG
rnacentral:rRNA from 1 species